CGCCCCAGCCCCCUGAGUACACAGUCCAAGAAGCCUGCUGGAGAAAGAACAGUGUGGUGAAAAUAUAUUCAAGUUUGAUAAACAUCUUGCUCUUCUGACAAGACAACUGAUUAGAACUCGUCUGUUCAUCGAAAUUGGUCAGCUCAGCUCAGAAGUAAAAGGAUGUGUCUCAUUCCUGCAGGCCUAGACCGCCUCUCUUUCCCCUGCACCUCCAUAAUUUCCAGGGAGCGGAGUUCUUACAAUGAGUCCAGAGCAGAAAUUUCCCAGAAACACCUGAUGUUUCCCAGAAACAUCAAAGGCAAACAUGACAAUACUGUUCCAUUUUCUCUACCCCCGCGCCCCCGAGAUGCCACAAUAUGCCUCCUUUACACGGCACUCAGGUGGGUCUGCUUAAUAAUAUUGAUGUCUUUGCUUU